GUUACACACAGCUUCAUUUCACAACACGAACUAUCAACGCGGAUCAUCAACGCGGACGAGUUCUCAGUUUCCAAGAAAUAUAACACCGAAGAUUGGAAGCCUUAACCUAAACCUGAUACCUACAACUUGAGCACAAAUAAAAGGUCUUUGGAACUUUUGGAUUGAAAAUUGACCCAGUUUAUUAAUUCACAACAGCGUCUGGCUUAUUGAGGAAUAUAAAGACAACUGCAACAAUGGUWCUCACUGUAGCYAAUACAAAACCAUCCCAGGAACCCCAAAUCAAAGAGGACUGCCAAGUGGUAUCCAAUCCAGCCAAACAAUCCYACSAAGUGAGAAACAGUUCAAUUGACCACACUUCAAAAACCUCAGAACAAAAGCCUAAUGCUAACUUUGAAGUCAUGGGCAUCUCKUCCAUUAAAACUUUCCAAGACUUUCUAGAAAUGCACAUCAGUUAGAGCUGUCAUCUCUCAGUGAUUCCAUAGGAGGAGAACUUGAUGUAUAAAACAAAAUGAAGUCUAGCAGAAAGGACGAUAGGUUCAGUAAUUUAACUGGUGACAAGGGACAAUAAGAAAAAUGUUUACGUAGAAGGCAACUGCAGAUACACAUGUAUAAUUAUAGURGAGGGGUCAUGCCAACUGAGCUCCAYGUGCAUCAGUGAAGGUCAAGCCGGCAGACUUUGAAGUACUAUAGCAACUGCACAAUAUCAUAUAGUGAUUUAAAAUAUCUUAUUCAAAAUCAAAUUGUCAAGAACAGAAGUUGAAUGGUUAAGAACCUAAAAGCAUAAGCUGCAGUUACUAAUAAUAAAUUUUUAUUUAUUUUAAUGUAUAAGUUGUAACAUUUUAAGAAAAAUUGGGAUUUUACAUAGUUAGCAAUAAGCUAAUCCAAAAAAUCAAGUAAAUUAGAGUUUAAAAACAAGAUGAAACUAAGAAAAAGCAAUACAAUCUUAAGUGUUUAUAUUUAUGCUUUGUUCAUCAUAGUCUGUAGAAUACAUUAGAAU